CAAAUCGCGUGAAACGCUUUGAGUUUCUUCCUUUAGUCGAAUAGAACGUUGGAAGUAGAAAGCACGUGGCUGGUCGAUGUCGCGAUCGAUUUUGCGGUCGACUCGAGGCGACGAGCAAGACGACGAUCGGUGUGGCAAGAGAACGAGUCGAACCAGAUAGCCACCAAUGAAGAAACUUCACUAUUAGAAAUAUAUAUCCUAGUAUAUAUUCGUGUAUCCGUCUGCUCAGUGUCUAUGUAUGUAUAGUGACGAGAUUUCACGUCCGUAUUUCAAGACGACCUGCAGCAACUGGUUCCUAAGGAGCGGCGGCCCUUUCAAAAGUUCGUGAACCGAUCGAGUUCGACGAUCGCAGCGCCAUCUGAGAAGCUUACCCUCGCUCCUACGUAUACCAUGCAUCGACGUUCUUCUUCUUCUUCUUCUUCUUCUUUAUUCUUUAUUCUUUAUUUUUUUUCUUUCUUUCUUUCUUUCCUUCUUUCUUUCUUUCUUUCUUUCUUUACCACCUCCACUUUUCUCUUCGAGCCAAGCCUACAAAGAAACAAAUUCUUUUCUUAUAUGAAUUCUUCACGAGAUCAAACUUGUAUUUCGUUCUUUAUAAAAUGAUAAAUCCUCGAAAAAGAGAGGGAAAUUGACGGGUGGCUUACUUCGAAAAGAGCGCGUAAUAAAUGACCUUUCAAAUUCGUAACAAUUAACCUCUUUAAGAAUAAAUGAUCGAAUAUUGAAACACAAAGGGAACAUUUCUUUUUUGUAAUUAAUAAUAUUUCUUCGUGCAAGAUGAUUUUCUAUUCGUAAGAGAGAAGAAACAUUUAUUUAAAAGAAAAAAAAAAAAGAAAAAACCUUGUUAAUAUUAUUCUAUUCUUUCUAAUUAUGGUGCAAUCUUGAAAAUAAUUUCGAAAUUGAACGUGAACGUAUUUAAUUGAAUAUCCUUGACAAGGUUAAACGCUUCGAUAACGACUGCAGUGCCACCUUCGAUUUCAAAUAAUUGUAUGAUAAUUAUAUUCGAAUCCGCGCGCGAAAAUAAAAUAUAUUUAAAUAUCAUUUUGACAACGUAAAAAGUCGUGAAAAGAAGAAACAAGAUUGACCUUUCGAAAGUUCACGAAUCGAGGAAGAGAAAGAGAGAGAGAGAGAGAGAAAUCAAGCGAAGGGAAGUCUGUCUGUAUAUCUGGUUAUAGAGAAGGUCAAAAUCCUCUCAACUCAGCACCCUUAUAUACCAUGGUCACUUUGUUGACACGCCACUGAUGACUGCAGUCAGAGUGCAUGAGGCCCAUGUAAGAGUAUGCGAGGAGUUUGUGUCGAGGAGAGGGGCGAAAUGGACGGGUAAGAGAAAGGUGAAUACAUUCAGGUAUAUAAAGAGGAAAAGAGAGAGAAGAUGUACAGCGAAGGCGGACGAGUUUCGAAUUGACCUAGCAACUUGCUCUUCUCGUUCAACUAUACACGAAAUCUUAUGAAUCUAACGUGGAAACUGUUCCAAGUCUCCUUUCUAAGAGAUCAGAAUCCAAACGAUGUUUACAAAGAUAUUGACCUUCCAAAAAGAGAACUGGUAUUUCAUAUCGAUAUAAUUUAAGAUACGCUUCGUUUCCCAAGGC